rnacentral:rRNA from 1 species
GGGCGAGUACAGUGGCGCACGGGUGAGUAACACGUAGGUGACCUGCCUUUUAGCGGGGGAUAACUCGGAGAAAUUCGAGCUAAUACCGCAUAGUGAGUACAAAAGUGAAAGUAGUACUCUAAAGAAUGCCUCUACUUGUAAGCAUUCACUAGAAGAUGGGCCUGCGUCGUAUUAGCUAGUUGGUGGGGUAAUGGCCUACCAAGGCUACGAUACGUAACUGGUCUGAGAGGAUGAUCAGUCACACUGGAACUGAGACACGGUCCAGACUCCUACGGGAGGCAGCAGUGGGGAAUAUUGCGCAAUGGACGAAAGUCUGACGCAGCAACGCCGCGUGAGUGAGGAAGGCCUUCGGGUUGUAAAGCUCUGUUUGAUGGGAAAAAUGGUCAUUGGUCCAAUAGGCCAGUGAAUUGAUGGUACCAUCAGAGGAAGCACCGGCUAACUUCGUGCCAGCAGCCGCGGUAAUACGAAGGGUGCAAGCGUUACUCGGAUUUACUGGGCGUAAAGCGCGCGCAGGCGGAUCGGCAAGUCAGGUGUGAAAUCUCGAAGCUCAACUUCGAAACUGCGCCUGAAACUAUCGAUCUAGAGUCUUGGCGGGGGAGGUGGAAUAUCGCAUGUAUGGGUAAAAUCCGUAGAGAUGCGAUGGAACACCAGAGGCGAAGCGACCUCCUGGACAAGUACUGACGCUGAGCGCGAAAGCGUGGGGAGCAAACAGGAUUAGAUACCCUGGUAGUCCACGCUGUAACAGUGUGCACUAGUUUGGGGGGGGGGUUGACCUCUUCUG